CGAUACGUAUUGUGAAUUGCAGAAUUCAGUGAAUCAUCGAGUCUUUGAACGCAUAUUGCACUCUCUGGCAUUCCGGGGAGUAUGCCUGUUUCAGCAUCAUCAGCACCAUCGAAUCCAAUUUCUUGGAAUCGGAUCUGGGCUUCUUUUGCGGAGGAGUAUUUCCCGCUGGCCUUAAAUUGAAUCGUGCGUCGCGUUACCUCAGUAUUUUGCCAAGUCUCGUACUUUGCAGGACCUGUAGGACCUCCUCCCCAAGGCGUCAUAGUUGGCUCUGCCAUCUUUCGCCGAUUUUGGGAGUGGUGCGCGCCGCGCAGUCUUUUUUUCUCCGUGUUUGAGAUUUCUCGCACGAGAAUUAAUUUUUUUGAAAUUUGAUCUGAAAUCAGGCAGGAUUACCCGCUGAACUUAA
rnacentral:rRNA from 1 species